GCCAGUUUGGUGCAGUGGUUUGAACAUUGGACUACAACUCUAGAGACCAGAGUUAAAAUCCCUGCUCAAAAAUGGAA